rnacentral:rRNA from 1 species
UUUUGAAUUUAAAAAUAUUAAAAGUUAUGGAUCCUGACCCCACUGCAAUUAAUAAUAUUAAAAGGGGCCGCGGUAUUNUAUGANCCGUGCAAAGNGUAGCAUAAUCAUUAGUCUUUUAAUUGARGACUGGAAKGAAUGGUUUAACGAAAUAARAACUGUCUCAAUAUAAGUAAUUGAAUUUAAUUUUUAAGUGAAAAAGCUUAAAUAAAAUUAGAGGACGAGAAGACCCUAUAGAGCUUUAUAUGUAAUUUUAUAAUAAAUAUUAAGUGAAAUUUACAUAAAUAUAAAAUUGUAUAUUUUAUUGGGGUGAUAAGAAGAUAAAAUUAACUCUUUGUUAUUGGAAACAUAGAUUAAUGAAUAUUUGAUCCAUAAAUAAUGAUUAUAAGAUUAAGUUACCUUAGGGAUAACAGCGUAAUUUUUUUUGAGAGUUCUUAUCAAUAAAAAAGAUUGCGACCUCGAUGUUGGAUUAAGGAAUAUAAUUAGGUGAAGAAGUUUAAAUUAUAAGUCUGUUCGACUUUUAAAUCCU